rnacentral:misc_RNA from 1 species
GAUGAAGAACGUAGCGAAAUGCGAUAAGUAAUGCGAAUUGCAGAAUUUCCGUGAGUCAUCGAAUCUUUGAACGCACAUUGCGCCCACUGGUAUUCCGGGGGGCAUGCCUAUUCGAGCGUCGUUGUACCUCUCAAGCCUGGCUUGAUGUUGGGGCACGCCUACCCGGCGGCCCUCGAAACCAUCGGCGGUGCCGGUGCGGCCUGGAAGCGCAGCAGAGAUGCGAAUCCGCGGGCCCGCAGACGCCAGCCGGACAAACGUCCUACGACAUUUUCACCAGCAAGACCUCGAAUUAGGUAGGGAUACCCGCUGAACUUAAGCAUAUCAAUAAGCGGAGGA